CGUGAGAUGUUGGGUUAAGUCCCGCAACGAGCGCAACCCUUGUCACUAGUUGCCAUCAUUUGGUUGGGCACUCUAGUGAGACUGCCGGUGACAAACCGGAGGAAGGUGGGGAUGACGUCAAGUCCUCAUGGCCCUUAUGGGUAGGGCUUCACACGUCAUACAAUGGUCGGUACAGAGGGUUGCCAAGCCGCGAGGCGGAGCCAAUCCCUACAAAGCCGAUCGUAGUCCGGAUCGUAGUCUGCAACUCGACUACG
rnacentral:rRNA from 1 species